rnacentral:rRNA from 1 species
UAGAAAUGAAUGCUAAUACCUGGUAUUAUGGUUAUAGGGCAUCCUAUAAUUAUGAAAGCUAUAAGCACUGUGAGAGAGCUUUGCGUCCCAUUAGCUAGUUGGAGAGGUAACAGCUCACCAAGGCGAUGAUGGGUAGCCGGCCUGAGAGGGUGAACGGCCACAAGGGGACUGAGACACGGCCCUUACUCCUACGGGAGGCAGCAGUGGGGAAUAUUGGACAAUGGACCAAGAGUCUGAUCCAGCAAUUCUGUGUGCACGAUGAAGUUUUUCGGAAUGUAAAGUGCUUUCAGUUGGGAAGAAAAAAAUGACGGUACCAACAGAAGAAGUGACGGCUAAAUACGUGCCAGCAGCCGCGGUAAUACGUAUGUCACGAGCGUUAUCCGGAUUUAUUGGGCGUAAAGCGCGUCUAGGUGGUUAUGUAAGUCUGAUGUGAAAAUGCAGGGCUCAACUCUGUAUUGCGUUGGAAACUGUAUAACUAGAGUACCGGAGAGGUAAGCGGAACUACAAGUGUAGAGGUG